rnacentral:rRNA from 1 species
AGCGAACGCUGGCGGCAGGCCUAACACAUGCAAGUCGAACGAACCUUCGGGUUAGUGGCGGACGGGUGAGUAACACGUGGGAACGUGCCUUUUGGUUCGGAACAACUCAGGGAAACUUGAGCUAAUACCGAAUGUGCCCUUCGGGGGAAAGAUUUAUCGCCAUUAGAGCGGCCCGCGUCUGAUUAGCUUGUUGGUGAGGUAAAGGCUCACCAAGGCUACGAUCAGUAGCUGGUCUGAGAGGAUGAUCAGCCACAUUGGGACUGAGACACGGCCCAAACUCCUACGGGAGGCAGCAGUGGGGAAUCUUGCGCAAUGGGCGAAAGCCUGACGCAGCCAUGCCGCGUGAAUGAUGAAGGUCUUAGGAUUGUAAAAUUCUUUCACCGGGGACGAUAAUGACGGUACCCGGAGAAGAAGCCCCGGCUAACUUCGUGCCAGCAGCCGCAGUAACAC